GUAGACUUUUCGAGCGCGGAUUUACAAGAUGCAAUCUAUUCUUAUUUUCUUUAUCUUUGCUGUUCUCACCUUUUGCACUUUGAUUGAUGGCUAUAAUAAAGAAAAGUGUAAUGAUGCUCCUACCGUGCCCGGUAAGUGCAAGAUUAAACCUGAACUUGUUUUUGUAUUCAAGGCAAAGAGCUGUGUAGGAAUCAGCUAUAAUGGAUGUGGAAAAACCAAAAACUAUUUUGAAACAUAUGAAAACUGCUUUGCCGAAUGCAUGAAUGAAACAGCUUAGAAUACACUUUGAAAUAUAGUGUCCAGGCAGAGCAUACACAAGUCGUGGCUCGUUUUCGAUUUGCUGCCUUGGGUCCAUUGUUGUUUUU